AGGCUAGUUCCCAAUUAUUUUCAUGCCGGCAGUGCUAAAUGUGUUUAAUGACUCANNNNNNNNNNNNNNNNNNNNNNUCUGAAGACCUCACAAUUCAGUGGAACACACACAUUUUACCUCAGGCUAUUUUAUUUAUUGAAAAAAGGAGGAAAUGCAGAACCAUACCCAAAUGAUAAGUAAAAGUUCUUACCUUGUUCUUGUCCAUGGAAUUACAGACUUGAUCAACAUGUUGACUGACUUUUUGAUUCAGACCUUGCAGACCCAAGCAUGUCAAACUCAGGCAGUGUUUGCAGACUGGAUGGGUAUUCCAUUGUAAGUUUUCUGUACCACAGGUCUCAUUAGCAGAAACUGCUGUCUCACCACCCACUACAGAUUUGCUAGUCCCCAUCCUGAUUCACAGUCUAUAGCUUUUUCUCUAUUUUCAUGUAAGGUCUUUCUGAAUUUAGUCUCUCACACUUCACUAAAACUUGAGGUUAACAUAUGCUCCUAGAAAGCUCCUCUAAACCUCUUACAGCUAUAGGCUAAAUAUGAAUAGAAAGCCAGUGAGAUUAAUUCAUCUGUACAAUUUUAAGACCAAGGUCAUUGGUUAGUAUCUGAUAGGAUUGUUGCUUACUACCAUUCAGAUAAAUACUUUUCUGUAAAGGACAGAGACAAUAUUUGAGGGUAAUCCUUGCCAUAUUGUUAGCCAUAAAUUACACCUAUAUUUGGAGAAAGAAAUGGCAACCUACUCCAGUAUUCUAGCGUGGAAAAUUCCAUGGACAGAGGAGCCUAGAGGGCACAGUCCACGGGGUCACAAAGAGUCANAGCGUGGAAAAUUCCAUGGACAGAGGAGCCUAGAGGGCACAGUCCAGGGGGUCACAAAGAGUCAGACAUGAAUGAGCAUGUUCACACACACACACACACACACACACACACCCCUACAUUAUUGAGUAGUACAGUGGGGCUUAAUGGAAGGAACUUACAAUCAGGAAGUGGAGGUUCUAGGCUUUAUUCACCACUUAUUAACUACAUAGAACUAUUACUUCGGUAAGACUCAAGUUUCUCAUCAGUGAAUGAGUAUCAAGGGU
rnacentral:lncRNA from 1 species